rnacentral:lncRNA from 1 species
AAUUACUCAUUGUCUAAAUAAUUACUCCUCUGCAUACACUGAGAUUUGCUUUCUGCACUGAUGCAGGUGAGGAUGAAUGGUCAUGGGAGCUGUCUUGAAACAGGCUACUGUGUUGCCCUGAACUUGAAGGAAGGAAGAGAGACUGAGAGAAUAAUUAAUGUACAUUGGCAGAGCUGUGCGGAUGAGUUAAUGGAAAGGUGGUGGCAGGAAGGAGGAGAGAGGAGAUAA